rnacentral:rRNA from 1 species
GUUGAACGCUGGCGGCGGGCCUAAUACAUGCAAGUCGAGCGAAAAGAUGAGGAAGUUUCCCCUCUUACGUUGGCGGCGGACGGGUGAGUAACACGUGUGGAACCUACCCAUAAGACGGGGAUAACUUCGGGAAACCGGUGCUAAUACCGGCGAAAAUAUUGAACCUCAUAGGUCAAGAGUGAAAAACGACCUUGCUUACACUUAGAGCUGGAGCCGCGCCGCAUUAGCUAGUUGGUAAGGUAACGGCUUACCAAGGCAACGAUUCGUAGCCGACCUGAGAGGGUGAUCGGCCACACUGGAACUGAGACACGGUCCAGACUCCUACGGGAGGCAGCAGUAGGGAAUCUUGCGCAAUGGGCGAAAGCCUGAUGGAGCCACGCCGCGUGAGUGAUGAAGGUCUUCGGAUCGUAAAACUCUGUCAGUAGCGAAGAAGAAAUGUGUAAGUAACUACGCACGUAUUGACGGUACCUACUGAGAAAGCAACGGCUAACUCCGUG